rnacentral:lncRNA from 1 species
GGGAAAAAGUUGGAGGAAAUCUGGAGAAAAAAUGGGGAAAAAUGAUUAAAAAAUUGGGGAAAAAUGGGGGGGAAAAAUGGGGAAAAUUUGGGAAAAAAAUUGGGGAGAACUUGGGGAAAAAAUUGAGGAAAAUAUGGAAAAACCUGGGGAGAAUCUGGGGAAAAAUGGGGAAAAAACAGAGAAAAAAAGGGAGAAAAAUUGGGGAAAAUGUGGGGAAAAAUUGGGGAAAAAUUGGGAAAAAAUUGGGGAAAAUUUGGAAAAAAUACGGGACAAACCUGGGGAGAAACUGAGGAAAAAACUGGGGAAAAAUUGGGGAAAAAAACAGGGAAAGAUUGGAAAAAAUAUGGGAAAAACCUGGGGAUAAACUGGGGAAAUCUGGGAAAGAAAAGGAAAAAAUUGAGAAAAAAUUUGGGAAAAUUCAGGAAAAAGUUGGGGAGAAUCUGGGGAAAAAAAGUGGAAAAAAAGGGAAAAAUGGGAAAAACUGGGAAAAAAAUUGGGGAGAAAAAGGGGGGGAAAUGGGAAAAAAUACAGGAAAAAAAUGGGGGAAAUCUGGGGGAAAAGGGAAAAAAUUUGGGGAAAAUAUGGGGAAAAAUGGGGAAAAAUAUGUGAAAAACCUGGGGAGAAACUGGGGGAAAUCUGGGGGAAAAAAGGGGGGAAAAAAAGGGGAAAAUUUGGGAAAAAUUGGGGAAAAUACAGGAAAAAAAUGGGAAAAAUCUGAGAAAAAUCAGGGAAAAAUUCAGGAAAAAAUGGAGAAAAUCCGGGAAAAAUCUGGGAAAAAGUCAGGAAAAAAAUGGAGAAAAUCUGGGAAAAAUCCAGGAAAAAUCAGGGAAAAAUUCAGGAAAAAAUGGAGAAAAUCCAGGAAAAAUCUGGGAAAAAUCCGGGAAAAUUGUAGGAAGAAUCUGGGAAGAAUUUGGGAAUUUGGGUUGUGGGGGAGGGGUGGGAAUGGCGGAAUGGGGGGAAUGUUCCGGAAGGUUCCGGCUCCAUCCGGGCCCUUCCCGUCCCCUCCCGGCGCAGAUCCCGAAGCUGCAGCGGGGCCACAUCCAGGACUGCGGCCAUUGGACACAGCUGGAGAGGCCGGUGGAGCUGAACCGGCUCCUCCUGCAGUGGCUGCGGGGGCUCCCCCCGGAACCUCUCAACAGCAACAGCAACAGCAGCAGCAACAGCGCCAAACUAUGAGCAAAUAACUUUUUCCCGCCAAAUUUUUCCCGCCAAAACCUUUUCCAGCCAAAUUUUUCCCGCCAACACCUUUUCCUACCAAAACAUUUUCACGCCAAAAGCUUUUUCCCUCCAAAGCCUUUUCCCACCAAAUUUUUCCCACCAAAACCUUUUCCCACCAAAAA